GGGGCUGUAGCUUAAUCGGUAAAGCGCCAAACCGCCGGUUCAAGAAACCGGCCCGUGGUCACAAUGACCUCGAGGGGCCGCUUUCCCUUCUAGGGGGGUGAUCCCUUGGCGGCACGGAGCUUGUCAAGCUCCGCGCUGCCUGCCGGGCCCCAGUGGUCCGGAGCCCGCGCGAAGCUCAGGAGUCCUCAGGAGGUUCCUGAAAGGUUCCUCCUGAGGAAGUUGAGAGAUGCGGGUUCGAGCCCCGCCAGCUCCA
rnacentral:tRNA from 1 species